AGUUUUAGUAGUUUAAGAUAAAACAUUGAUCUUGUAAAUCAAAAAUAUAAAUUCUAAAAC
rnacentral:tRNA from 1 species